AGGCAGCCUACUUGCUACAAUAUAAUAGCAUUUAAGGUGUUUAACUGCUCGUAAAUCAAAUGCUUUUGCUCUUCAGACUUGCUGAGAUUUUUCUCUGAAGCUGGUCUAGUAAGCUCUAGUACAUU
rnacentral:snoRNA from 2 species